CUUAGCGCUAACCAUUGCACCUGGGGCUGGGAGCCAGCGCCGGAGCCAGGAGGCCCGCUGGGCGGCUGCAGACGCUGUGACGGCCACCUGGGGGCGGCCACGUGAGCGCCACGCCGUGCGCCCGCCAGGCCAGCCCCGCCCCUGCCCGCCUGCUUCUGCUCAACCUAGCCCAGCCCUAGCUCCAGCCUCAGCUCCCUUCCUUCCCGGAUCGAGCGCCCGCACUCCCGUCCCUGCAGCCAUCCGAGUCCCGCACGCUGUAGCCUGCACGCGAGUCCCUGGCACGCGCCUCCCGCAUCCCGGAAUCGUCCUAGCGGCCCCCGCGCCCUUCCUGGGAUCACUCCGGCGGCCCCGAGCCCCGGGAUCGGUCCAUCUGCCCCGCGUGGCCCCGGCUGCGUGCCUGGAGCGCCAGCCAGCGCGCCCCGCUCUCCGCUCCCCGGCACUCUCGGGGGGCCCGCCCGCCCUGCACCCUGGAGCUCCGGGCCGCAAGCCUCUGCCAACUCCUCUGGAUCCUUGCGGCCGUAAGCAGCGGCUGCCGCGCCUGUCUGCCCGAGGGAGGACCUUCGCCUCUGCAUUUGCCCAGUAACUCUGGCUGUGCCGGAUACUGCUUGGGUAAAACGAGUAUCCCAGGAACAUGGCAGACGAAGAUCUCAUCUUCCGCCUGGAAGGCGUUGAUGGCGGUCAGUCCCCCCGAGCUGGCCAUGAUGGUGAUUCUGAUGGGGACAGCGACAAUGAGGAAGGUUACUUCAUCUGCCCCAUCACCGAUGAGCCAAGGUCGAACCAGAAUGUCAAUUCCAAGGUUAAUAAGUACUACAGCAACCUAACAAAAAGUGAGCGGUAUGGAUCCAGCGGGUCCCCAGCAAACUCUUUCCACUUCAAGGAAGCCUGGAAGCACGCAAUCGAGAAAGCCAAGCACAUGCCCGACCCCUGGGCUGAGUUCCACCUAGAAGACAUUGCCACCGAACGUGCUACUCGACACAGGUACAACGCUGUCACCGGGGAAUGGCUGGAUGAUGAAGUUCUGAUCAAGAUGGCGUCUCAGCCCUUCGGCCGAGGAGCAAUGAGGGAGUGCUUCCGGACGAAGAAGCUCUCCACCUUCCUGCACGCCCAGCAGUGGAAGGGAGCCUCCAACUACGUGGCGAAGCGCUACAUAGAGCCCGUAGACCGGGAUGUGUACUUUGAGGACGUGCGUCUACAGAUGGAGGCCAAGCUCUGGGGAGAAGAGUAUAACCGGCACAAGCCCCCCAAGCAGGUGGACAUCAUGCAGAUGUGCAUCAUCGAGCUGAAGGACAGACCAGGCAAGCCCCUCUUCCACCUGGAGCACUACAUCGAGGGCAAGUACAUCAAGUACAAUUCCAACUCUGGCUUUGUCCGUGAUGACAACAUCCGCCUGACGCCGCAGGCCUUCAGUCACUUCACGUUUGAGCGUUCCGGCCAUCAGCUGAUAGUGGUGGACAUCCAAGGAGUUGGGGAUCUCUACACUGACCCACAGAUCCACACAGAGACAGGCACUGACUUUGGAGACGGCAACCUAGGUGUCCGUGGGAUGGCGCUCUUCUUCUACUCUCAUGCCUGCAACCGGAUUUGCGAGAGCAUGGGCCUUGCUCCCUUUGACCUCUCACCCCGGGAGAGGGACGCGGUGAAUCAGAACACCAAGCUGCUGCAAUCAGCCAAGACCAUCUUGAGAGGAACAGAGGAAAAAUGUGGGAGCCCCCGAGUAAGGACCCUCUCUGGGAGCCGGCCACCCCUGCUCCGUCCCCUUUCAGAGAACUCUGGAGAUGAGAACAUGAGCGAUGUGACCUUCGACUCUCUCCCUUCUUCCCCAUCUUCGGCCACACCACACAGCCAGAAGCUAGACCACCUUCAUUGGCCAGUGUUCAGUGACCUCGAUAACAUGGCAUCCAGAGACCAUGAUCAUCUAGACAACCACCGGGACUCUGAGAAUAGUGGGGACAGCGGAUACCCCAGUGAGAAGCGGGGUGAGCUGGAUGACCCUGAGCCCCGAGAACAUGGCCACUCAAACGGUAACCGGAAGUAUGAGUCCGACGAAGACAGCCUGGGCAGCUCUGGACGGGUCUGUGUAGAGAAGUGGAAUCUCCUCAACUCCUCCCGCCUCCACCUGCCGAGGGCUUCGGCCGUGGCCCUGGAAGUGCAAAGGCUUAAUGCUCUGGACCUCGAAAAGAAAAUCGGGAAGUCCAUUUUGGGGAAGGUCCAUCUGGCCAUGGUGCGCUACCACGAGGGUGGGCGCUUCUGCGAGAAGGGAGAGGAGUGGGACCGGGAGUCGGCUGUCUUCCACCUGGAGCACGCGGCCGACCUGGGCGAGCUGGAGGCCAUCGUGGGCCUGGGACUCAUGUACUCGCAGCUGCCCCAUCACAUCCUAGCUGACGUCUCUCUGAAGGUGCCGAGACUGGCUGGAGGCCCUGCACUGGUACAAAACUGCCCUGGAGAUGACGGACUGUGAUGAGGGUGGUGAGUACGACGGAAUGCAGGACGAGCCCCGGUACACGAUGCUGGCCAGGGAGGCCGAGAUGCUGUUCACAGGAGGCUAUGGGCUGGAGAAGGACCCGCAGAGAUCAGGGGACUUGUAUACCCAGGCAGCAGAGGCAGCGAUGGAAGCCAUGAAGGGCCGACUGGCCAACCAGUACUACCAAAAGGCUGAAGAGGCCUGGGCCCAGAUGGAGGAGUAACCAGGAGAAUCACUGUCAGCUAGUCCCAAGCAAAAGGGCUAGGAGGAAAGAUUUAAAAACAAACAAACAAAGAAAAAAAAAAAAAAAAACUUAUUUAGUUUGGGGAGGGAAAGCAUUUUUAGUGUGUUGUAAAUCAAAUUUUGUAUUUCAUUUUUUGACUCUUGAAAAUAUCUUUGCUACUUGGCAGCUACCAGCAGAGACUCUAUAGUUGUCUCUUAGGGCAGUAUUCUGGGGAAGCGGGGCUUGAAAAAAGCAGCCUAAUGAACCAACAUACCAUUUUGCGGUUCUUUUUUUUUUUUUUUUCUUUUUUUUUGAGACAGAGUCUUGCUCUGUCACCCAAGCUGGAGUGCAAUGAUGUGAUCUCAGCUCACUGCAACCUCCACCUCCGCCUCCUGGGUUCAAGCGAUUCUACUGCCUCAGCCUCCCAAGUAGCUGGGAUUACAGGCACACACCACCACACUCAGCUAAUUUUUGCAUUUGUAGUAGAGAUGGGGUUUCACCAUGUUGGCCAGGCUGGUCUCGAACUCCUAACCUCAGGUGGUCCACCCGCCUCAGCCUCCCAAAGUGCUGGGAUUACAGGUGUGAGCCACCAUGUCUGCCCAUUUUGUGGUUCUAUUUUCAUUUUUCUUUCUUUUUUUUUUUGUCACGAGAUAUAAGAAAGUGCUUUUUGCCUUGAAUGGACAGUUUUAGGGCUCUGCUCACUAGUCGUUUCAGGUUGGACUGAAAUCUCAGGCCCAUGGAGCCCUGUGUUUUGUGCAUCAGGAUAAGAAAUGAAGCGUUGCACGUUGGCUUUCCAAAGUCACGGGGUGUGUGUUGCUGUGGCUUAGUGCAAAGCGUUCUUUCUCAGAGCAUUUAGAGGCAUGCAUGGCAUUUUUUCAGUGGGUGUGAGAUUGCACAAUACCCAGGCUCCCUUCUACCAUGGGGAAGGACCUGCAUAUUGGCUGUUUUCUAUUUUUAUUUUUUAUUUUUUUUUAUUUAUUUUUAUUUUAUUUUUAUUUUAUUUUUAUUUUAUUUUUUUUUUUUUUUUUUGAGGUGGAGUCUCGCUCUGUC